UUUUUUUUAAUGUAAUGUUAAAUUAAAUCCAAAAAAAAAAUAGCGUUUUUACAUCUAUGUGCAACAUUUUGUUGAAAAAACUGGAGCAAAAACUAGAAUACAAUCUAAAAAUUGUUUCUCAUUCUCUCAUCGCAAACCAAGCUUGUAAGCCCUUGUCAUAUCUCUUAUCUCCACUUGCUUUGAUCGAAC
rnacentral:sRNA from 1 species